ACGCCGAUCACAGGGACUCGCAUCAGAGCGGCGCCUAGCAACCAUAGGAUGUGUAUGGGGGUUGCCUAGCAACCGCAGGGACAUGUGGAGCUGACGUCACACAUAUGCGACACGCCCCUUCCGUCCCGCUGACGGCGCCCCGGCUUCGGCGUGCAUCUGGAAAUGAGGAGGAGGGGGAGAUAUGGACGAUUCAGGGAUAUAAGUUACAGUGACUCAGUGCUGCAACUGAAUCAAUUUAAAUGUCACUUCAUUUACUGGUGUCUACUGUAUAUCUGGGAUUUGGGGUUCUCUGUUCCUCUGCCAUGCUGUGACAGGAAGACGACCAAGAAGAGCCUUCUAAGAUCAGACAAACAUUGACUACAAAACAGCUGCAGCCCAAACCAGCAAUAACUUAUCUGGGGGUAUUACAGUGAAUCUCUGUGACGUUGGAAUGUCUAACGGAGGCGACAAGGGGAGAGGGCCAGUGGUGGAUUCAAAAGGACUCACAAGCUGAAUAAACCUGCUGCGGUGGUGCCUAGGCCAGAUUCAGCCUGGGACACUGUUGCUUUUCUAAAAAGCUAGCCCACCGCAACCCUGAUUCAUGGUGAGAGACAUUUUUUCCAUUUGCACAUUCACCUUCUAACUGGUCCAGCCCCACAGAUGCACUUUAUUUGUGUAUGUUCAUGUCAGUAUUUUGUGUUUUAAUAAAAGUUUGUACAUUUUAACUUUUA